UACGUAGGGUGCAAGCGUUGUCCGGAAUUAUUGGGCGUAAAGAGCUCGUAGGCGGUUUGUCGCGUCGACUGUGAAAUCCCGCGGCUCAACCGCGGGUCUGCAGUCGAUACGGGCAGGCUAGAGUUCGGUAGGGGAGACUGGAAUUCCUGGUGUAGCGGUGAAAUGCGCAGAUAUCAGGAGGAACACCGAUGGCGAAGGCAGGUCUCUGGGCCGAUACUGACGCUGAGGAGCGAAAGCGUGGGGAGCGAACAGG
rnacentral:rRNA from 1 species